ACGCUCGACACCUACGGGGCAGCAGUGAGGAAUAUUGGUCAAUGGACGCAAGUCUGAACCAGCCAUGCCGCGUGCAGGAUGACGGCUCUAUGAGUUGUAAACUGCUUUUGUACGAGGGUAAACGCAGAUACGUGUAUCUGUCUGAAAGUAUCGUACGAAUAAGGAUCGGCUAACUCCGUGCUAGCAGCCGCGGUAAUCUGAGCGGGCUGGCAAGGC
rnacentral:rRNA from 1 species